AUAAGCUCCAAAAUCAAAGCCCAAAUAUAGCUGGUUAUUCUGACAGGCAACAUGAUUCAAUCUAAGAAAACAAAUAGACUGUCACUCGCAUCCCUAGCGAGUUCAUAUUCCAAAUCAAAUGAUUUGAUUCCAAAAUUUCUAGUCACUCUAUGGUGUGACAGUGAUUACACGCGCUACAACUGCAAGUGCUUUUGAUCCUAUAGACCGUGGUAAUAAUUCUGUCAGCUUUACCUUUCUCAUCUCAGGACUCGACACAGUUGGGUACUCAGAAAUUAACGAAAUCAACCCAAAGUCCAGAAACCGAUAAAGACGGAAUCCAAGCGUCAAUAGAGAAAAAUCAAAGCCUUGUUUGAAGAGUAUAUAGUUUUACAACAGGAACAUGGAAAACCAAGAAGAUGAUACUGCACCACCAACUGCAAAGCAGCAGCCAUCAUCAACAUACCAUUUAUUCCUUACAAUUAUGAGCAAAAGGACAACAUGGGUUUGUCUUUUUGUGUUAGUAUAUGCAAUCCUCUUAUCAUCCUCAUGGAAUUUCCUAAAAUCUGUACUUUCUUGGUACAAAGAACAAGCACAAGUCACUUCUGCAGCUUCUUCUGGGUGGCCUGCCUUGUAUGCAUCAGUUCUUCUAGGGGCUGUUUUUGGUCUCCUUUCAAUGGUUGCAGCUCUUGCAGUGGCUGUGCCAGCCACCUUGGUUAUAUGGAUCACAGUUCUGGUCUUAUUGACUUUCUUUGGAAAGCCAAGGAGGGCGUUGGUGAUUGAGGGAAGGAAGAUCACUAGAGAUAUUGUUGGGUUUGUAUUCAAGAUUUUGUUAAAGGAAGGGAAUGUUGUGGCUGCUGUUUGUGCUGUUCUGGGCUACUUUGCUCUGUUUAGAAGGAAUUCUGAAGGUAAUAAUUGAAGGGUUUCUUGUUUCCAUUAGGUGGGUUAGUUGUUUAGGGCAGAUGGGAAUGGAUUUGGGGAAAAUUUCCCCUUGUCUCUGAGGAAGUGUUUGAUAAUUUUCUUUUUGUUUUAUGGGGUUUGAAUGAGGGAUAAGAACUGGGAAAGCUAAAGGGUAUGUGUAACAGUAUUACUGGUUACUUUACUAAUUCUACUGUAAUAUGUUCUUUCUAAUUAAUUUGGUGGGCAGUUUUUUUUUCAAUUUUUCAAUACAGAAUUUUUUGUCAUGGAAACUAAUUAUUAAGUGCAUUUUCAUGAGCUGCUUUCUUGUUGAACUGAGCAUUGGAACUGAAUGACAGGAGAAC
rnacentral:misc_RNA from 1 species